rnacentral:rRNA from 1 species
CCUACGGGUCGCUGCAGUGAGGAAUAUUGGUCAAUGGCCGAGAGGCUGAACCAGCCAAGUCGCGUGAGGGAAGACGGCCCUACGGGUUGUAAACCUCUUUUGUCGGGGAGCAAAGAGAGUCACGUGUGACUCAUUGAGAGUACCCGAAGAAAAAGCAUCGGCACACUCCGUGCCAGCAGCCGCGGUAAUACGGAGGAUGCGAGCGUUAUCCGGAUUUAUUGGGUGUAAAGGGCGGGUAGGCGGGAAAGCAAGUCAGAUGUGAAAACUCAGGGCUCAACCCUGAGCCUGCAUUUGAAAAUGUUUUUCUUGAGUGCUGGAGAGGCAAUCGGAAUUCCGUGUGUAGCGGUGAAAUGCGUAGAUAUACGGAGGAACACCAGUGGCGAAGGCGGAUUGCUGGACAGUAACUGACGCUGAGGCGCGAAAGCGUGGGGAGCAAACAGGAUUAGAUACCCGUGUAGUC